ACCAAAUUGUACUACUAUUUAAACAAGAAUCAUUAGUAUUUUAUGUAAAAACAUUGGAGGCCUACAGUUGUACCGCACACUCACGCACGCACGCACCCGGAUUUUCUGUAUUUUUUUCUUCGUGACAGACGUGGUUGAUGGCUGGAAAGGACAUUUUCCCUUCGUUAAAGGUUCUCACUGAAGGGGAUAAUUCUCACUGAAACUACAGAAUAAAGCCGCCAGUUAAAAUCAUGGAACGGUUGUGCUCGUGGUUACUGAAGGGAGCUACAAGACCAUUAUUCGUUUCGAAUUCACCAACUCAAAGACGCUUGCCCGCUCCAUCAUAACUCCGUAAGUUUUCCCUCCCUGUGUAGAUCAAACGUCCUGCCUGUAAAUCCUGGGUAUGCCCACAUCAUUAAUGAAUAAGAUGUGUAGAAAACUGUUUAGCCAUAGUUAAAGGCCUUUCAUAAAGCAGCUGUCAUGAUUGCAUGUCCCUUAUGUUUAACACGUAUUGCUUGUUACAGAAUACUACUGUUGUACAUUUAAUAUCCCCUAGCAGAUUUCGUUGCCUUUGCACAAAUUCUGUCAUGUUACUGUGGUCUUUUUAAAAGUCAAUAAAAAUGUGUGUAAAGUGGCCAUGUUUGUUUCACUGUAUAUUUGUUUAAGCCCUCCUAGAAACACCUAAUUAAAGGCCUUUCAUAAAGAGGCAGUCAUGAUUGCAUGUGCCUCAUGUUUAACACGUAUUGCUUGUUACAGAAUACUACUGUUGUACAUUUAAUAUCCCCUAGCAGAUUUCGUUGCCUUUGCACAAAUUCUGUCAUGUUACUGUGGUCUUUUUAAAAGUCAAUAAAUAUGUGUGUAAAGUGUA